UAUUGUCUGUACUGGUGAGAUGAGUCUCUACCUUCUGAGGAACUUUCAUGCCAUUCGUUUGGUGUGAUGGGAAAUCAGGACUGUUACUUUGAAAAAAUUAGAGUGUUUAAAGCAGGCUAACGUCUGAAUACAUUAGCAUGGAAUAAUGAAAUAGGACGGAUUGAUUCUAUUUCGUUGGUUUCUAGGGUCACCGUAAUGAUUAAUAGGGAUAGUUGGGGGCAUUAGUAUUCAAUUGUCAGAGGUGAAAUUCUUGGAUUUAUUGAAGACUAACUACUGCGAAAGCAUUUGCCAAGGAUGUUUUCAUUAAUCAAGAACGAAAGUUAGGGGAUCGAAGACGAUCAGAUACCGUCGUAGUCUUAACCAUAAACUAUGCCGACUAGGGAUCGGACGCAGUUAAUUUUAUAAUGACGUGUUCGGCACCUUACG
rnacentral:rRNA from 1 species